rnacentral:rRNA from 1 species
AUUGAACGCUGGCGGCAGGCCUAACACAUGCAAGUCGCGCGAGCGGCGGACGGGUGAGUAAUGUCUGGGAAAAUGCCUUAUGGAGGGGGAUAACUACUGGAAACGGUAGCUAAUACCGUAUACACUCAGAUGUGCCCAGAUGGGAUUAGCUAGUAGGUGGGGUAACGGCUCACAUAGGAGACGAACCAUAGCUGGUCUGAGAGAAUGACCAGCCACACUGGAACUGAUACACGGUCCAGACUCCUACGGGAGGCAGCAGUGGGGAAUAGUGCACAAUGUGCGCAAGCCUGAUGCAGCCAUGACGCGUGUGUGAAGAAGGCCUUCGGGUUGUAAAGCACUUUCAGCGGGGAGGCGUUACCCGCAGAAGAAGCACCGGCUAACUCCGUGCCAGACGCCGCGGUAAUAC